rnacentral:misc_RNA from 1 species
GUCUUCCACUACGGAAUCCUAAUACCCCUCUUUUGGAUUGGGUUUUGUUAGGUUGUUGUGAGGAAGCUCUGUUUGUUAAAUGUUGCUUCCCUUGGUGCUUGCUAUGAAGCUUCUCAGAGCAAGCAUUGGUUGGCAGAUUCAGAGGUGGGUACCGAUCCGAUCAUUGUUGCCAUGACCUUUCUCGAGUUCAUCCAGCACUGGCCCUAGUCCUAGGUUUUUCUCUGGUUUGCUGCAUUUUCUCCAUCUCCUCUAGGAGUGCAUGUGUUGUGCAGGGACGACAUCUGUGUUUGAGUGAGGUGUUCUGAUCUCCCUCUACUAUUGAUAAUCUUCCUCUACAUGUUAGAUGUUCAAGAUCCUGUCAAUUUCCCUUGGAAGACUAGUGAAGGGUUUGCUGGUGAAGGUGAAGUCGGCAUCAAUGAAGCUUGGUUCUCCAGGUCCUACCCGUUUUAGCCUAGAGAUCCAUGAUUAUCAGGGUUUAGGCCUAUUUCUGGGCUUGAGUUGGAG